ensembl:lncRNA
GUUUCUGGUCUUAUGUUUAGAUCUUUAAUCCAUUUUGAGUUAAUUUUUGUGUGCGGUGUUAGAAAGUGAUCUAGUUUCAUUCUUUUACAAGUGGUUGACCAGUUUUCCCAGCACCACUUGUUAAAGAGAUUAUCUUUAAUCCAUUUUGAGUUAAUUUUUGUGUGCGGUGUUAGAAAGUGAUCUAGUUUCAUUCUUUUACAAGUGGUUGACCAGUUUUCCCAGCACCACUUGUUAAAGAGAUUGUCUUUACUCCAUUGUAUAUUCUUGCCUCCUUUGUCAAAGAUAAGGUGUCCAUAGGUGUGUGGAUUUAUGUCUGGGCUUUCUAUUUUGUUCCAUUGAUCUAUAUUUCUGUCUUUGUGCCAGUACCAUACUGUCUUGAUGACUGUGGC